rnacentral:lncRNA from 1 species
UGCUGCAGAUCAAACUCAGCCUCAGAGUGUGCUAGGCAAAUGCCUUAACAAAUGCCCAGGGCCCUGAACUCCUCAACUAUGAUCUUCUGAUAAGGAUGUUCCACAUUCCACACUACAGAGGACAACAGCCCCUUCCAGCAGCUGCUUCGCCUCUUCUUGCUUAUCCCGCCUUUUGGGAUGUUACCCAGAGCACCGUGUUCUUUUUCAGAAGUUACAACAACCACCGAUCUCCUUUAAAAUUUUCCCCUAAGAGCUUCCAAGACCAACAGUCCACUGUGGCACAUGUGAUGUAAGUUCACCACCGCUGCUCUACAUAUUACUCAAUGGCUACUUGGAUGAAAA